CCGGACUGCUCGGGGUUAGGCUGGGCAUCGGUCAGCGGGUGGAGCAGAAAAUCACAUCAACCAACAUAGCCUAACACUAGCUGUACCUCUGAAAGAAGGAUGCAAGGUCUACCCAUUCAGCUUGUUUGCUGAGAUGUCUCUAGGUGGACCUAAAGAUAAGGAGGGAAAUCCCAGGAGACAGUAUCUAUAGUUGAGUUAUCUUUAGACUCUUCAAACACAUACAGAGGAGACUCAGAAGAGGAAAUUUCUGCCCACUGCUGUAGGGACAAAGGAUACUCCUUCUGAUGUCUCUUAUCUCUUUCCUGGCAUCGGAUACCUGGUCUCCUGAAAAGGAUGUUUUUUUCUUCAAUUGAAUGCUGCUACUCCAAGGCACAACUCAUCAGGACUUCUGAUUCAUCUGGCCUAAAAAACAGAUGUUAUUUGGGACUGGCCGCAGCAGCAAUGAAGAGAAUAUUUGCUCUCUUUUGUAAGAGAUUGCAAUACAGAGACAGAGGUUGUGACGACAUGAUUUAUUGGCUGCAACAACGAAACUGGUGCAAGUUCUCCCCUGCCUGCUUGCUGCUUAUCCAUGAUGCCUUGUUGCUAAAAUGACCUAGGCUCAGAAAGGAUACUCCUCAAAUACUUAAUUUUGUCAUGGAUCACAUAAGUGGUUCAAAUUUAUCACACAGUUCUGGAAAAAUAUUGUACUACAGUCGGCAAGGUUGUAGACAUGGGUAUCAUGAACAGGAACAAGAAGCCAGAAAGAUGUAAAGGGAGAGGUAUGUAAUGCCAUUACACCCUUGGAAACAAAACUUGCUUAAGGAAACUGAGGAAGACAAGAUGCCCAUUUUAUAUGUGGGUAUAUUUACUCUUUUAGCCUGAAAUAUUUUUUUCUCUCUGGAUGGUAACUAAUUAAUACAUUAAUACCAAGUAAAUUACAGUAAAGUUACCUAAAUGCUCUUUGAAACAUCAAUCCAUACACAAAUCAUUAUUUUCUCUUCCUCCAAUGCUGUUUUACUGGACAGAAAAAUCUCACUGCAAUCUUAAUUAUGGAGCUUGAUGAAGCUCCACAGUACAGAAAGAAUGGAAAUUUCAAGGCAGUUUCCUUUGGUGUGGGCUUGGUGUCAGCACACUGGAGUGUUAACCUGGGUAGGAAUUACUAACUAUAAUGAACAUACAAGUAACUACAAAAGUAUUAAUUUUGUUACCCUUAUUCAGGUUGACUUUGAUCUUAGAAUACAAGGCCCAAAGACACCAGGAAAAAAACACUCCUUUUUAAAAAGCCCUUUAUUGUCCUGAAAAUAGACCCCCACAGAUACUAAAAACACAUUCAGCAUUAGGUUGUGGUAUGAUGGUCAACAAUAUCUAGCACUACUUUGUGAAUUAUGUUUGCCAUGCUGCUGACUACUAAAAGUGAAAAAAAUAAAAUAAAAUUAAUAUUA